rnacentral:rRNA from 1 species
GAAUCGCUAGUAAUCGUGGAUCAGCAUGCCGCGGUGAAUACGUUCCCGGGCCUUGUACACACCGCCCGUCACACCACGAGAGUUGGUAACACCCGAAGUCGGUGAGGUAACCUUUUGGAGCCAGCCGCCGAAGGUGGGACCAAUGAUUGGGGUGAAGUCGUAACAAGGUAGCCGUAUCGGAAGGUGCGGCUGGAUCACCUCCUU